rnacentral:rRNA from 1 species
UGCCGGCGACCGGCGGACGGGUGCGUAACGCGUAUGUAACCUACCUUUGACAGGGGGAUAACAUCGAGAAAUUGGUACUAAUACCCCAUAACAUCUAACCGGAGGCAUCUUCGGUGGUUGAAAACUCAGGUGGUCAGAGAUGGACAUGCGUUGUAUUAGCUAGUUGGUGAGGUAACGGCUCACCAAGGCGACGAUACAUAGGGGGACUGAGAGGUCAACCCCCCACAUUGGUACUGAGACACGGACCAAACUCCUACGGGAGGCAGCAG